UACGGGGGGGGCAAGCGUUGUUCGGAAUUACUGGGCGUAAAGGGCUUGUAGGUGGCCAACUAAGUCAGACGUGAAAUCCCUCGGCUUAACCGGGGAACUGCGUCUGAUACUGGAUGGCUUGAGUGUGGGAGAGGGAUGCGGAAUUCCAGGUGUAGCGGUGAAAUGCGUAGAUAUCUGGAGGAACACCGGUGGCGAAGGCGGCCAUCUGGACCGCAACUGACGCUGAGGCGCGAAAGCGUGGGGAGCAAACAGG
rnacentral:rRNA from 1 species